rnacentral:rRNA from 1 species
UACGAAGGGGGCUAGCGUUGCUCGGAAUCACUGGGCGUAAAGGGUGCGUAGGCGGGUCUUUUAAGUCAGGGGUGAAAUCCUGGAGCUCAACUCCAGAACUGCCUUUGAUACUGAGGACCUUGAGUCCGGGAGAGGUGAGUGGAACUGCGAGUGUAGAGGUGAAAUUCGUAGAUAUUCGCAAGAACACCAGUGGCGAAGGCGGCUCACUGGCCCGGUACUGACGCUGAGGCACGAAAGCGUGGGGAGCAAACAGGG